rnacentral:lncRNA from 1 species
GUAUUUCGGCAUAGUUCGUCCUCCCAAAAAUACCCAAACUCAACAAAAAUACUCAAUAAGCUGUAAAUAUUAUUUAAAUCAACCUAUGAAACUCAUACCUCACUUACCCAAUUUUGGAGCCUCAAGAAGAAAUUAUUGAAUUUCUGAACAGGAUGUAGGUUUAAUCAGGAUCUUGCUGAAGGAUCUUAGAAGGUUGUGGGUUAAUUGGGUUAAGAAGGAGGAGAUUUGGGUUAAAAGAGGAUUUUUUUUUUUUUUUUUUACACUACCAGAGCAAAAGCUCUGUUCUCUCUCUUUUUUUUUCUCGCGAGGAAGAAGGGUUCUCUGGUUUCGGGAAUGUUUCGGGACAUUCCCGAAACCAGAGCUUUAAUGCUCCUUUUCUCUUCUUUUUUUUUAUUAAAAUUAAUAGGCCUGGGCCUGGGCCUUAGAAUUCUCUCCUCCUAAUAGAAAUUUUGUCCUCGAAAUUUACAUACCUGGUGGAGGGAACAAAUGUGGAAAUUGAAUUCGCAUAUUCUCUUCUUUUUCCCAGUUAGCUUCUUUAGCAGAAUGAUUACUCCAUCGAACUUUAACCAGGGGUAUUAUCUUGCUCCUUAAAACCUUCUUUUCUCUGGCAAUGAUCUCUACUGGCUCUUCUUCAUAUGUUAAGUCUUCCCUCAACUCGAUAGGCUGUUUCUGGAGGAUGUGGGAAGGGUCACUUCUAUAUCUCCUUAACAUGGAUACAUGGAAGACAUCAUGAAUCUGAGAUAGCUCUGGAGGUAGUGCUAAACGAUAAGCAACUGGUCCAAUUCUCUCUAAAAUCUCAUAUGGUCCUAUGAAUCGCGGACUCAAUUUUCCACGUUUACCAAAAUGUACAACCCCUUUCCAAGGAGAAAUCUUUAGAAAUACCUUGUCGCCAACAUUAUAUUCAAUAUCCCUUCUCUUUAGAUCUUCAUAACUCUUCUGUCUGUCUUGUGCUGCUUUUAAUCGAUUUCUGAUCAUCUGAAUGUUAUCUGCCGUGUGUUGCACUAAUUCUGGACCUUCUAAUUGUUUUUCCCCUACCUCAUUCCAACACAAUGGUGUUCUGCAUCUCCUCCCAUACAAAGCUUCGUAAGGAGCCAUGCCGAUACUCGAAUGAUAACUAUUAUUAUAAGAAAACUCCAUUAAUUGCACAUACCUAUCCCAACUUCCUUUAAACUCCAUCACACAAGCUCUCAGCAUAUCUUCCAAGGUCUGGAUAGUUCUUUCUGAUUGACCAUCAGUCUGAGGGUGAAAGGAAGUGCUAAACUUCAACUUAGUGCCUAACGCAUUUUGCAAACUAGGCCAAAAAUGAGAAGUGAAUCUUGGAUCUCUAUCUGAAACAAUAGAAACUGGAGCACCAUGAAGUCUUACAAUCUCACUGACAUAGAUCUCUGCUAACUUGUCUAAAGAGUAAUCCAUCCUGACAGGCAAAAAGUGUGCUGACUUGGUUAACCUAUCCACUAUCACCCAUAUUGCAUUAUGUCCACGCGAAGUACGAGGUAACCCUGAAACAAAAUCCAUAGUAAUGUGUUCCCACUUCCAUUCCGGAAUAGAGAGCGGUUGCAGCUUUCCUAUUGGAUGUUGAUGUUCUGCUUUAAUCUGUUGGCAAACUAAGCAUGUGGACACAAAGUCAGCUAUUUCUUUCUUCAUACCUGGCCACCAAUAGUUUUCUCUAAGAUCUCUGUACAUUUUUGUACUUCCUGGAUGCAUAUAGUAAGCAGAACAAUGGGCUUCCUCCAUAAUCUCUCUCUUAGAAAAGUCAGUACGGGUGCCAUCUCUUACUUCAUUCCUGAUCUUACUCAACUGCUCAUCUUGAUUUUGGGCUUCUCUGACUUUUUCUAUCACAAUUGGUCGAACUUUAAGAGUUGCUAACAAUGCUCCUGCAUCAUCCACUGCUAGCUCUACCCUUAAGGAUCUGAUCUCUAGUAACAAAGGAAGCCGAACUGUUUUGAGAUAAGCCAACUUACUAAAGGACUUGCGACUAAGGGCAUCAGCUACCACAUUAGCUUUACCUAGAUGAUAUUCAAUGGUACAGUCGUAGUCCUUAAGUAACUCAAUCCACCGUCUGUGCCUUAAAUUCAACUCCUUCUGUGUGAGAAGAUACUUCAAACUCUUAUGAUCUGUAAAAAUCUGGCAAGUCACGCCAUAAAGAUAAUGCCGCCAUGUCUUUAAUGCAAACACAACUGCAGCUAAUUCCAGAUCAUGGGUGGGAUAAUUUAAUUCAUGUGGUCUAAGCUGUCUAGAAGCAUAAGCUAUCACCUUCCCAUGUUGCAUGAGUACACAGCCUAAACCCUUGUGAGAAGCAUCACUAUACACCACAAAUCCAUCUGUACCUGAGGGUAAGGUAAGAACUGGGGCUGAUGUGAGACACGUUUUAAGCUUCUCAAAACUCUCUUGACAUUCAUCUGUCCAUUCAAACUUUGCAUUUUUUCGAAGGAGUUUAGUCAAUGGUGCUGCAAUGAUGGAGAAAUCCUGAACAAAGCGACGAUAAUACCCUGCUAAGCCCAGAAAACUUCUAACCUCUGUAACAUUCGUUGGAGGAUCCCAAUUGACUACUGCUUCAAUCUUCUUAGGAUCAACCAAAAAUCCAUCUGCUAAGAUAACAUGCCCCAAGAAAACCACCCGAUCAAGCCAGAACUCACAUUUGCUCAAUUUAGCAUAUAGUUGUUUAUCUCUCAAAAUCUGCAGUACUAUUCGUAAAUGCUUCUCAUGCUCUUCCUUGCUACGGGAAUAUACUAAGAUGUCAUCAAUAAACACAAUAACAAAGUUAUCCAAGUAGGGCUUGAACACCCUAUUCAUGAGAUCCAUAAAAGCAGUGGGUGCAUUAGUUAACCCGAAAGGCAUAACAAGGAACUCAUAAUGCCCGUAACAAGUUCUGAAGGCUGUCUUAGGUAUUUCAGACUCCUUGAUCUUCAAUUGAUGAUACCCAGACCGCAAAUCAAUCUUAGAGAAUACUUUAGCACCUUGGAGCUGAUAAAAAAGAUCAUCAAUGCGGGGUAAAGGAUACUUAUUUCGCACUGUGACUCGAUUCAAUUGUCUGUAGUCAAUACAUAACCUUAAGGAACCAUCCUUCUUCUUCACAAAUAGCACAGGGGCUCCCCAAGGUGAAACACUGGGUCUUAUGAAACCUUUAUCAAGUAGCUCCUGCAAUUAUGCUUUUAACUCCUUCAAUUCUGUUGGGGCCAUUCGGUAUGGUGCCAUAGAAAUAGGAGUUGUACCUGGAUUCAAAUCAAUAGAGAAUUCAAUCUCUCUAUCUAGAGGCAACCCAGGAAGCUCUUCAGGAAAUACAUCAGGAAACUCGCUUACUACUGGUAUAUCUUCCAAGUUAGGUUCUUCCCGACUACUGUCCAUCACAUAGGCGAAGUAUGCUUGACAACCCUUCCGAAGCAUCUUCCUAGUAGUCAUGGCGGAAAUCACAUAAGAAGGAAGUAAACGCCUCUCCCCAAAGAAAGUGAACUUAGACCCUUCUGGACUAUUAAAUACCACUGAUUUCUCAAAGCAAUCUAUUGUGGCAUGAUGACGAGAUAACCAGUCCAUACCUAAGAUGACAUCCAGAUCUUGUAGACACAAAGGAACUAGAUCCACUAACAGCUCAUGAUUGCCCAACUUAACAACACAAUCCCUAUACACAUAUUCACAUACAACAGAAUCCCCAACUGGAGUACUCACAGCUAAUCCACAGUCUAAAAGUUUUAAUUCUCUAUCAGUAUGCUUAGAGAAGGAUUGAGAUACGAAAGAGCGAGUGGAACCAGGAUCUAUAAGAAUGUGUGCAUCUUUAUCGAAAAUAGUUAACAUACCAGUCACCACCUCUGGAGAUGCUCGUGCCUCCUGCUGUGUCAUAGCAAAAACUCUGGCCUGAGUACGAGGUCUGCCGAGUUGCAUCGUUGGUCUAGACUGAGAAGAUGAAGUAGCUCCACUGGCUCUGCUUGUGCCAGGCCCCACUUGUGCCGUAGGUACACCUUGUGAUGGUGUCACACCAUACCUUAGAUUCUGAGGCGCCACUGAUCCUUGCUGAGAACCACUGUCUCUGGCUAUCAGCAAUGGACAAUCUCUCUUAAAAUGUCCCGAAGAACCACAUUCAAAACAACCCCUAUCGAAUUUUCUGCACUCCCCAGCAUGAUGUUUACCACAGGUGACACAUUGAGGAAAAAGUCUCUUCCUUUGUUCAAACCCAGAAUCAUAUCCUUGUCCUUGUCCAUGUGUCUGUGCCCUAAAGGAACUACCCACUGGCUGUGCUACUGAACUCUGACUAGACUGUGGUCGAGCAACCUGCUGCUCUGUGUUAACAAAGGAACCUCUACCGCUACCACUGUAUCCAGCUUGGGACUGAAAUGAACUACUCCCUCUCUUCCCUGGUCUUUCUCUGAACCCUUGUGAGCCCUGCAAAUGCUUUCUACUCAUCUUCUGUUCAUACUCUUUCUCUUCUUGCUUAACUUUUUCAACAUUCAAAGAUGCUUCCACCAACUCUUUGAAAUUAUUACCUCUGAACCAGGUCAUAGAUGAUCUGAUAUUAACAUGUAGACCCUGUCUGAAUCUGUCACAUUUUGCUUCCUCAUAAGGCAAUAUAUCUGAAACAAAGCAAUAAAGAUCUUCAAACUUGUCAACAUACUCUCUUAUUGAGAGGCUUCCCUGAAACAACCUGAAAAAGGCAUCCUUUUUUCCUUUCCUGUAACUAUCUGACAAAUAUUCCUGGCGAAAUUCAUGAAUAAAUUGAUCCCAAGUCAGUCUGACUCCAUGUCUGCGACGGAUGCCAUCGAACCAAGCAUCAGCCUUACCCUGAAGCAAACCAUGUACAUUAUCUACCUUCUCUGGAUCAGUCAACUUCAUUAAUUCAAACACUUUUAGCACUUUCUUUAACCAUUUAUCUGCAAUGUCAGCAUCAGAGGAACCCUCAAAAUCAUAAGCUCCCAAACGUCUAGCACGAUCCACUAUCUCCCACGGAUCUCUAGGUUUGGCUGUAACAGCUGCUGUAACUACUUGUGCCACAAAAGCACCCAAGUCUGCAUUUAUCUGGAAAGGAUGGGCUGGUGCUACAGGUGGAACAAAAGGUGGAAUUGUAGGUGCAACAGGAGGUGCAACUGCAGGUGCCGAGGAAAGCGAUGGUGUAGUCGGAUAUGCCCCUGAUUCAACACCAUGAGAAACAGAUUCUCCAUGUCCUUCUCGGCUCUCAGAUAACUCAUGAUCUGCCACCCCUUCAAGAGGCGGAGGUGCAACUGUAGGAUCCCUAGAAGGUCGACCAAUAUCAGCUAAUCUAGCUGUACGAACACCACGGCCCUGACUUCUAUUACCUACUCUGGGCGGCAUUGUCCUACAAACAAAAAUAGGAAAAGCAGUAUCAAAAUAUAAUUCAAAAUACUGACUCGAGGCAAGUCUACAGAAUCUAUAAACCUAUGCUCUGAUACCAAAAAUUGUCACACCCAAUCCCCAAACUGUAGAGACUGAUAUGACCCGGAAAACUGACAGAACUUCCCCUGAUAAUUAUACUUAUAAAAACAUGUAACCUGCUAUAAUUCCAAAUGAUAAAACAUAUAAGAGAAAAACUGAUAAUUGGACCUGUCAAUUCAUAAAAUAUUUACAACAAUAAAAUACCGUUUCCACUGGACUGUCCAAUCUAUACAUGAUCUAUCAAGAUUACAAAAAGAAAAGACAAAAGACUUAGGAUUGGUCCGACCUCCUCUAGACUCUGAGUAGACGAUGUAGAAAGAAGGAUAAACUAGAAGAUGAGGACUGCUGAGCAGAUCACCAAAAAGGAACUGAAAUAGUAAAAGAAAUAUAAGGGUGAGUACAAACUACUCAGUGAGCGGAUAAAUAAAUAACACAGGGGAAAAGAUAAGUGUAGGUACUUCAUAGUACCUAAUAUGUAGCUAAAAUAAAUCAGCUGAAUAAAUACAAUUUAAUUCCAUCAAUAUAAGAUAAACUGUGAAAAAUAGAAUCCGCAUACACUCAUAAUAUGUUCCCUGCAGAUAAUGCUGGCAUCUCAGGUAUAAUAAAAUAAUAACAGCCUGAGAGCAGUACUGGCAUCUUAGGCUCUAUAAUGACAAAUUUGGCCCAAGAGCAAAUAAAAUACUGGUCAUACACAUGUGCAGAGCUACCCCCAAAGGGUGACCACCUGACAUACGCCCCAAAGGCUAUCUGUAUAUCAAGCGCUGUCCCAAAGACAGUAUAAUUAUAUAUAUCAUGUUGAAAAUAAAUCACCCGUCAUCAAGGUGUUAUCUGUUUGGUGCAUAUACAGAGUGUAAUCGGCUAUUUAUUCAGCUGUGCUUCGUAUUCAAGAUAUAUAAAUUAUCAUUAUCCUUUCCCAAUGUAAAUAAACAACAUAACAUAUUCACAUAUAAAUAUAUUUUAAAAAAAAUAUCAAUGUUAGAUAUUUAUCCACUCACCAGAAUACUUGGGACAAAAGACCUAGGUCGCAGGAGGACCCCUAUUAUCUAUUCUGGAAGCUGGAUCCUCUCCUAGAAUUAAAAAGAAAAUAAAAGAAUAUAUCAAAUAAUAAAAAUACUCUAGAACAAGAAUAUAAAACGUAACAUACGAAAUUUGAAACUAUGUUUAUAUAUAUUGUUAAGAAAAUUUAGGCAGUAUUUCGGCAUAGUUCGUCCUUCCAAAAAUACCCAAACUCAACAAAAAUACUCAAUAAGCUGUAAAUAUUAUUUAAAUCAACCUAUGAAACUCAUACCUCACUUACCCAAUUUUGGAGCCUCAAGAAGAAAUUAUUGAAUUUAUGAACAGGAUGUAGGUUUAAUCAGGAUCUUGCUGAAGGAUCUUAGAAGGUUGUGGGUUAAUUGGGUUAAGAAGGAGGAGAUUUGGGUUAAAAGAGGAUUUUUUUUUUUU